rnacentral:rRNA from 1 species
CCUACGGGUGGCAGCAGUGAGGAAUAUUGGUCAAUGGGCGUAAGCCUGAACCAGCCAAGUCGCGUGCGGGAUGAAGGUUCUAUGGAUCGUAAACCUCUUUUAUAAGGGAAUAAAGUGUGGGACGUGUCCUGGUUUGUAUGUACCUUAUGAAUAAGGAUCGGCUAACUCCGUGCCAGCAGCCGCGGUAAUACGGAGGAUCCGAGCGUUAUCCGGAUUUAUUGGGUUUAAAGGGAGCGUAGGUGGAUUGUUAAGUCAGUUGUGAAAGUUUGCGGCUCAACCGUAAAAUUGCAGUUGAAACUGGAAGUCUUGAGUACACUAGAGGUAGGCGGAAUUCGUGGUGUAGCGGUGAAAUGCUUAGAUAUCACGAAGAACUCCGAUUGCGAAGGCAGCUUGCUGGACUGCAACUGACACUGAGGCUCGAAGGUGUGGGUAUCAAACAGGAUUAGAUACCCCUGUAGUC